rnacentral:snRNA from 1 species
GAUCACUGGCUUCUUAGCAUUUAACCGAGGAAAUCUUUCGCCUUUUACUAAAGAUUUCCAUGCGAAGGUGCAUUUUUUUUAAAUAUUUCCCGAUGAUUUUCAAACGCGAUGAUAAUUGGCU